CAGUCGAACGGCAGCGCGGGGCAACCUGGCGGCGAGUGGCGAACGGGUGAGUAAUAUAUCGGAACGUACCCUGGAGUGGGGGAUAACGUAGCGAAAGUUACGCUAAUACCGCAUACGAUCUAAGGAUGAAAGUGGGGGAUGCGCAAGCACCUCAUGCUCCUGGAGCGGCCGAUAUCUGAUUAGCUAGUUGGUGGGGUAAAGGCCCACCAAGGCAUCGAUCAGUAGCUGGUCUGAGAGGACGACCAGCCACACUGGAACUGAGACACGGUCCAGACUCCUACGGGAGGCAGCAGUGGGGAAUUUUGGACAAUGGGCGCAAGCCUGAUCCAGCAAUGCCGCGUGGGUGAAGAAGGCCUUCGGGUUGUAAAGCUCUUUUGUCAGGGAAGAAACGGGUCUUCCUAAUACAGAGAUCUAAUGACGGUACCUGAAGAAUAAGCACCGGCUAACUACGUGCCAGCAGCCGCG
rnacentral:rRNA from 1 species